rnacentral:misc_RNA from 1 species
GCUUGUUCGCGGCGCGUCCCUUCCGCCCGGUCCCUCCUCCGUCCUGGAGGCGGCGUCGGGCGGUGGGGCGUUUGUUCGGGCAAGCGUUGGGCCGGCGCAUGAGUGGCAUUCCGGAUUUGUCCCCGCGGCAGGCUCCGUGCUUUGGGCACCGAACUGCCUCGGUCCUAUCCGCUUCAUUUGAUCGCUCGCCCCGCGUGUCGGUCGCGGGCGCUGGGAGGGUUCCUGCGCUAGAUACCCGAUUGCGGUACCCGGUUUCGUUGUCGUCCCUGUCUUGGUUCCCUUGACCCCACACCGCACCCUGUGCGGUGGGGGAUAUCGUGCGGGCGUCGGCGCUCCCCGUCCGGUCGGUCGCCCUACUCCUGGGCGUCCGCCCGCGUCGGUGCGCCGGUGCCGUCCGCGUGCUCUCGGGUACGGUGAUAGCUCUUGUUAUCGCGCGGUCCUCCGUGCGGUCCCUACGUGUCGAAGCUCUGCUUCCGCUCGGGCGACGCUCGUGCUUCCCUUGGAGGUCUCGGGGCCUCUCCGCUCCGCGCUCGUCCUUGGGUUGCGUCGAGGUCCCUUACGUGAAUGCUACCUGGUUGAUCCUG